AUUCCAUCCAUCCAGGAGCUCAUCCCAAGCCCUAGACUUGAAACCCCACCAUUCCCCACCUUGGAGAUCUCCACCCUAGAAAGCCCCUACCCUCAAGAAAUCCUAUAUAAGCCCUGCCUGCUACUCAGCUCUCUGCUGGUUCUCACCCGAGCAGAGGCAGCCACCCUCCUGGGUGUGGCUUUGUGGUAGUCCUUGGUUCUCGACUGCCAUCGACCUUUCCCCGAAGAGCAGUGGCACUCUCAAUCCCCCUUGAGUGUCUGCAAAGAGCUCACACUUGGUUCCUUCUCUAGACAACUGACCUUGGCUACACAGUAGACCUUGUCUUAAAGUUUACACUACAACCCCCACUGAAGACAGUUAUCCAGUCUGGUGUUGGGGGUGGCCCUCUGUACAAAAUGCCACCAGAGGACCAACACAGUGAUACUCAGACCAAAGCUAGGCUCCCUCUGCAGUCAUAGCCAUGCACAGCUCCUCCCCCUGUCCAAUCUUCUUCCCCCUUCUUCCCACAUGUCCCCCUCAGACAACGUGCCUGGAUUCCUACCCGGGACAGCUUUUGGAGAAUCCAAUCUCAGACAGAACGUGAUCAGAUCAGAAGAAAUCGGCUACUUUCUGUAUCGAAGGUUGCCUAGGCCACUCUUCAGUCAAAUGCCAUGAGCCUCAAAUACCACUCACAGCCAAUGUUAACACAGAAGCAAAUCAAAGCUUCGCCAGCAAGCCGUGAAGAUGCAAAUCCAAGCCUGGGGUAUCGUUCAAGGAAGCAAAGAGCAGCUCAACUCCUUCCUCACAAAAGGAGAAGAGAGAUGAAUGAAAGAUCUCAGAGGCAGGUUCAAGAAGGACACAGACUUACAGUUGGGAGGACGGGGUGUAUUAGAAGAGUUAUUAACACCAUGGAUGGACAGACUCCUGAGGAGAGCUCAGGGCUCCAUCAUCAGUGACAGACAACAUGGGAAAGUCUCUGAAAGGAAGAAUCAUGGCCCACGUAGCAGAAGUCAGGUCAAGGGACAAAUGUCCUCUUCACUUAGCUCUCUGGAGACGAGUGAUUUCCCAUCAUAAACCUGCAAGCUCUCUGAUUCCCACGCAGGAGACCAGAAAGGAGUGAGGAACAAGAUAUGUGAUACCAAUACCUACUUUGAUAUAAACUCACCCCUAAAUCCCAGAACCUAAAAGUCUGUUCAUUAGUGAUCCACAGACAGUGGGGUAACUGUAUCCGCAAGAGGUAGGGCUGCUUCAGGCAUAGUGUGAUCUGAGCAGCAGUGUGCUAACAUAAGACACUUGGGUUGAGUAUCUCUCUCCAGCCUGCUCUCCCCAGCCAGGUAGCACUUAUUUCUCCAUACAUAGCUGAGAGAUAGGAGUUAACCACGCUCUCUACUACACUCACCCCUGCUCACACCCACAACAACAAAACAUUAUCUCAUAAUUUCCAGGGCAGUGCAAAAACCUGCCCUUGCCAAAAAUGGUCUGAUCUUCUCUCUGAUCCAUCUUGUAAACAACUGUCUGUGCAGCCAAGAACAAAACAAAAGGAGCUGCGAUGUGAACUGCAG
rnacentral:lncRNA from 1 species